rnacentral:rRNA from 1 species
AGUGAACGCUGGCGGUAGGCCUAACACAUGCAAGUCGAACGGCAGCACAGUAAGAGCUUGCUCUUACGGGUGGCGAGUGGCGGACGGGUGAGGAAUACAUCGGAAUCUACUUUUUCGGGGGGGAUAACGUAGGGAAACUUACGCUAAUACCGCAUACGACCUACGGGUGAAAGCAGGGGAUCUUCGGACCUUGCGCGAUUGAAUGAGCCGAUGUCGGAUUAGCUAGUUGGCGGGGUAAAGGCCCACCAAGGCGACGAUCCGUAGCUGGUCUGAGAGGAUGAUCAGCCACACUGGAACUGAGACACGGUCCAGACUCCUACGGGAGGCAGCAGUGGGGAAUAUUGGACAAUGGGCGCAAGCCUGAUCCAGCCAUACCGCGUGUGUGAAGAAGGCCUUCGGGUUGUAAAGCCCUUUUGUUGGGAAAGAAAAGCAGCAGGUUAAUACCCCGCUGUUCUGACGGUACCCAAAGAAUAAGCACCGGCUAACUUCGUG